GUCGAGCGGUAGAGAGAAGCUUGCUUCUCUUGAGAGCGGCGGACGGGUGAGUAAUGCCUAGGAAUCUGCCUGGUAGUGGGGGAUAACGUUCGGAAACGGACGCUAAUACCGCAUACGUCCUACGGGAGAAAGCAGGGGACCUUCGGGCCUUGCGCUAUCAGAUGAGCCUAGGUCGGAUUAGCUAGUUGGUGAGGUAAUGGCUCACCAAGGCGACGAUCCGUAACUGGUCUGAGAGGAUGAUCAGUCACACUGGAACUGAGACACGGUCCAGACUCCUACGGGAGGCAGCAGUGGGGAAUAUUGGACAAUGGGCGAAAGCCUGAUCCAGCCAUGCCGCGUGUGUGAAGAAGGUCUUCGGAUUGUAAAGCACUUUAAGUUGGGAGGAAGGGCUGUUACCUAAUACGUAAUGGUUUUGACGUUACCGACAGAAUAAGCACCGGCUAACUCUGUGCCAGCAGCCGCGGUAAUACAGAGGGUGCAAGCGUUAAUCGGAAUUACUGGGCGUAAAGCGCGCGUAGGUGGUUUGUUAAGUUGGAUGUGAAAUCCCCGGGCUCAACCUGGGAACUGCAUUCAAAACUGACUGACUAGAGUAUGGUAGAGGGUGGUGGAAUUUCCUGUGUAGCGGUGAAAUGCGUAGAUAUAGGAAGGAACACCAGUGGCGAAGGCGACCACCUGGACUGAUACUGACACUGAGGUGCGAAAGCGUGGGGAGCAAACAGGAUUAGAUACCCUGGUAGUCCACGCCGUAAACGAUGUCAACUAGCCGUUGGGAGCCUUGAGCUCUUAGUGGCGCAGCUAACGCAUUAAGUUGACCGCCUG
rnacentral:rRNA from 1 species